AAUUUAGCAAAUGAACAAAUGCUGUACUAAAAUUGGAACAGUACAGAAAAGAUUAGUGUGGUUCUGGUAUAAAGAUGACAUGAGUUUGUGAAGUGUUCCAUUUUUUU